rnacentral:lncRNA from 1 species
CAUGAAACUGAACGAUUUAAAGCCAUUAAGGUCUGCCUUGAUAGAAACCCAGAAGCUUUUCUACCAAAGAUUGGACAAAGCAAACUGGGAGAUAUUAAACCUCACCAUAACAAAGGAUGUAACUGCAAGCGUUCAGGAUGUCUCAAGAAUUAUUGUGAGUGCUUUGAGGGAAUCAGCUGUAUCUAUUUCUUUGGAAGAUGUGAAAGCAACAUGUGCUCGUCUCCUGGUGCAAGCUGAAGAGGCAGAAAAAGGAGGUUACUCUGCCUGUCUAGCUGAACGCAUGAUCAUGGAGGAAUAUGGGAGGUGUUUAUCCCAGAUCCUACAUUUGCAAUUAAAAGACUGAAAGUUGAAUAAUGUUCAACGUAUUAUAAAGUCAAUGAGUAGUAAUACUUAUGUAUUGUCAGUCUAAAUGAUCUUACCUUGAAUUUUCAUAGGACAAAUUUCACUGACUUCAGCUGCAUUCUUUCUGAAUUAUGCUGAUGUAAGUGAAACUUGGGGUUUUCUGGGCCAGUUGUUCAGUCUUUGCAUAGACUCCAAUUUAAAGUAAGUUUAACUUAGAAUGACUUUGUUGAAUGUUUAUGUGAGUGGAGAGCCAAUAAGCACUGAGAAAGAAGUU